AACGAACGCUGGCGGCAUGCUUAACACAUGCAAGUCGAACGUAAGUAUUUGGUGCUUGCAUCGGAUAUGAGCGUGGCAGACGGGUGAGUAAUACAUGGGAACGUACCUUUGAGUUCGGAAUAACCUUUGGAAACGGAGGAUAAUACCGGAUACGCUCAAGAGAGGAACGGCUUGCUGCUCAAAGAGCGGCCCAUGUCAGAUUAGUUAGUUGGUGGGGUAAAGGACUACCAAGGCAAAGAUCUGUAGCUGAUUUGAGAGGAUGAUCAGCCACACUGGGACUGAGAUACGGCCCAGACUCCUACGGGAGGCAGCAGUGGGGAAUAUUGACAAUGGGGGAAACCCUGAUCCAGCAAUGCCGCGUGUAUGAAGAAGGCCUUCGGGUUGUAAGGUACUUUUAUUAGGGAAGAUGAUGACGGUACCUAAUGAAUAAGCUCCGGCAAACUUCGUGCCAGCAGCCGCCGUAA
rnacentral:rRNA from 1 species